GUGGGGAAUCUUGCGCAAUGGGCGAAAGCCUGACGCAGCCAUGCCGCGUGAAUGAUGAAGGUCUUAGGAUUGUAAAAUUCUUUCACCGGGGACGAUAAUGACGGUACCCGGAGAAGAAGCUCCGGCUAACUUCGUGCCAGCAGCCGCGGUAAUACGAAGGGGGCUAGCGUUGCUCGGAAUUACUGGGCGUAAAGGGCGCGUAGGCGGACAGCUUAGUCAGAGGUGAAAGCCCAGGGCUCAACCUUGGAAUUGCCUUUGAUACUGGCUGUCUUGAGUUUGGGAGAGGUGAGUGGAACUCCGAGUGUAGAGGUGAAAUUCUUAGAUAUUCGGAAGAACACCAGUGGCGAAGGCGACUCACUGGCCCAAUACUGACGCUGAGGCGCGAAAGCGUGGGGAGCAAACAGGAUUAGAUACCCGGGUAGUCC
rnacentral:rRNA from 1 species